GUAGUCUCGCACAGAUGCAUAUCAAUAAGCGGAGGAAAAGAAACUAACAAGGAUUCCCCUAGUAACGGCGAGUGAAGCGGGAAGAGCUCAAAUUUGAGAUCUUAAAGGGUUUCCCUUUACGAAUUGUAGUUUAAAGAAGUGUUUUCUGUUGAGGUUUUGGUAAAAGUUCUUUGGAAUAGGACAUCAUAGAGGGUGAGAAUCCCGUAUUUGACCUUUACUUUCAACUUUGUGAUACACUUUCAAAGAGUCGGAUUGUUUGGGAAUGCAGUCCAAAAUGGGUGGUAAAUUUCGAGUCUAAAGCUAAAUAUUGGCGAGAGACCGAUAGCGAACAAGUACCGUGAGGGAAAGAUGAAAAGAACUUUGAAAAGAGAGUUAAACAGUACGUGAAAUUGUCAAAAGGGAAGCGUUUGACACCAGUGUUGUUUUUCUGAAAAUCAAUUAAAGAACUGUUUAUGCUAAGUUGUUUAGACUUUAUCAGCUAUCUGUUUAGUUUUGAGCUUUUCUUUAAUGCACUUUUCAGUUAACAAGUCAACAUCAAUUUCUUUUGCUGUAAAAAAGCUUGAGGAAGGUGGCUUGAGAUUCGUCUUAAGUGUUUAUAGCCUCUUGCCUAUGCAGUCGGAGAGAUUGAGGUCUGCAGCGUAGAUCCUUCGGGGCUAAAUGCAUUUGUGCUAAGUUAUAGCAUUUUAUAGACAACUUGUUGACUAUGAUUUGUCUUGUAGCUUACUCGCUUAUGUUAUUUUACCUACGCUUAGGAUGUUGACAGCAGUAUAGACUGU
rnacentral:rRNA from 1 species